rnacentral:lncRNA from 1 species
CCUGAGGGAGCCGUGGAGGUUGGGUGUUGCUCGCGGGCUCCGAUCAUCAUAAUCUUCACCAAUCAGUGGAAGUGGCACCAAGGGCAUUGGUGGUGUGGUUGCCCUCUGGUCGAGUCCCGAGAAAUGGUUGUUAAGUGUUUUCCCUCGACGAUCAAUUGCAAGCUUCUGAACGGGGCUGCCUCCAUCUGCUCCCUCCUCUCCUGCUGCUGCUGCUAGCAUCUUCGGGGGCGCCAGAGAUGUCCAUCAGGGCGACGUGGGCGCGUGGCACAGGGUCACUGCGCCUGCGAGACGGCCGUGAGAAGGACCGGGCCUUGACGGAGCUCGAGAAUGUCUCCAAAGGUAAGUCAUUCAAGGGCGGCGC